UCCCUUUGGCAGCACAUAUACUAAAAUUGGAAUGAUACAGAGAAGAUUAACAUGGCCCCUGCACAAGGAUAACACACAAAUUCGUGAAGCAUUCCAUAUUUUU
rnacentral:snRNA from 1 species